UAAAAAUAUAAAACCAUCCGUUCAUUCCAAAACCAAUCAUAAAUGUUGUUGUGCUGGUGUGGUAGGUGUGAUUGUUAUCAUCAUGAGGUUGGUCAGCUGUGACAUUUUUUAAAACAUGUUUUUCUCUUUAAAUACUUAGCUAUUCAAGAAGGGGAACAAGAAGGAUUCCCACCGCUCUGAAUCAGAACAAGUACAGACCACUGCUGAAGAUGGCAUGCUGCCCAGCAUAGUGCCACAUGCUGCCAUGUCUGCACUGCCAAAGGAUCUCCCCGCCAGCUCCCAACAGGAGACGCCUCACAAACGUCCACUUCUCGUCAGGAUGUUUUCUGCCAUCUCCAAAGGCCUGUUCAAGCCCUUCAAACAGUCCUUAAAGACCAAGUAACUUCAGACAAUUUAUUAAACGUCAUUCAUUGCAAUAAAUUGGCCUUUGUCUUCUUAUGUGCUCCCGUUAACAGACCAGAUUACAAUACUGGUCUUUUAAAUGUUAGCAGUGAUAGCAACAUUAACUAUAGUGGUGUGUGUAUAGCCCUUCUACACAGUCUGACUCUUCUGACACUGUGUGACAUGCCCUCUGAUCCAGUGAUCUAGGAUAUUCUGAGUGGCUUUAGGCCUGAAUCUCUGCCCUCCUGCCCAAAUAAAUGUUUUCUCUUCUGAUAUAUCUGCCACUCUUCAGCAGCCAGCAGGGGAAAACAGACAGCGCUGUUGAGAGCUUUCUUUUCUCCCUCAUGACUAAAACACUGAGAAAGGCUUUUAUCUAUUGCAGCAUAUUCCAUCUUUUGAUUUAACCUAUUAUACGGUAGAAGUACCCAUUAUUUCCCAACGGUUAUAUCACAGGAAAUGUGUUAUAAAAAGUAAACUUACAGUGCAUCCGGAAAGUAUUCAGACCACUUGACUUUUUCCACAUUGUUACGUUACAGCCUUAUUCUAAAAAUGAUACAAAUAUUUUUUCCUCUCAUUAAGCUACACAAUCAAUUUUAGAAUAAGCCUGUAACGUAACAAUGUGGAAAAGGUCAAGGGGUCUGAAUACUUUCCGAAUGCACUUUAUGUAAUGAAAAUAUUAGCUGGUUGCCACUAUAGAUAGCUAGGUUAUCCAGUGCAGUGGUAAUACUGCCUGCCUUGGGAGAUAACGUAGGAUGCGUGCUUAUCCGGGUGCCAGAGACACAAUCACAAGCUUUCUUCAGACUACAUAGCUCAAACUUACAACGUAAAGAUAUGAUUAUCACUACAUAGGUUUUUUUUUAACAAGAAGGGUGUUUUCUAUAUCUACCAACUAUGAAAUUACAGACAUCAUAAACGGUAAGCAUGAGAAUAAUAUCAUCAAGGCGGACAGGGACAAUGUAUGAAUACACAAAACAUUAUUCAAAUGGACAUUCCCCAAAUGAGCUAUGCACCAGACCAUAGCCACAGGAUAUCUAUGGAGUAACAUUAAUAUAUUCAUCAAUUUAAAAAAAGGCAUGAAUAUUGUUUUUCUGCUU
rnacentral:lncRNA from 1 species